rnacentral:rRNA from 1 species
GUUUGAUCAUGGCUCAGGAUGAACGCUGGCGGCGUGCCUAACACAUGCAAGUCGAACGAAGCAUCUUACCGGAUUCUUCGGAUGAAAGUUUGGUGACUGAGUGGCGGACGGGUGAGUAACGCGUGGGUAACCUGCCCUGUACAGGGGGAUAGCAGCUGGAAACGGCUGCUAAUACCGCAUAAGCGCACGAGGAGACAUCUCCUAGUGUGAAAAACUCCGGUGGUACAGGAUGGGCCCGCGUCUGAUUAGCUGGUUGGCAGGGUAACGGCCUACCAAGGCAACGAUCAGUAGCCGGUCUGAGAGGAUGAACGGCCACAUUGGAACUGAGACACGGUCCAAACUCCUACGGGAGGCAGCAGUGGGGAAUAUUGCACAAUGGGGGAAACCCUGAUGCAGCAACGCCGCGUGAGUGAAGAAGUAUUUCGGUAUGUAAAGCUCUAUCAGCAGGGAAGAUAAUGACGGUACCUGACUAAGAAGCUCCGGCUAAAUACGUGCCAGCAGCCGCGGUAAUACGUAUGGAGCAAGCGUUAUCCGGAUUUACUGGGUGUAAAGGGUGCGUAGGUGGCAGUGCAAGUCAGAUGUGAAAGGCCGGGGCUCAACCCCGGAGCUGCAUUUGAAACUGCUCGGCUAGA